UGUUUGGAGAGUUUGAUCCUGGCUCAGGACGAACGCUGGCGGCGUGCUUAACACAUGCAAGUCGAACGGUGAAGCACUUUCCUUUUGGUGGGUGUGGAUGAGUGGCGAACGGGUGAGUAACACGUGAGUAACCUGCCCCCUUCUUCUGGAUAACCGCAUGAAAGUGUGGCUAAUACGGGAUAUUCUGUGCCUGCUGCAUGGUGGGUGUGGGAAAGAUAUUGUUUCGGUGGGGGAUGGGCUCGCGGCCUAUCAGCUUGUUGGUGGGGUGAUGGCCUACCAAGGCGGUGACGGGUAGCCGGCCUGAGAGGGUGGACGGUCACACUGGGACUGAGACACGGCCCAGACUCCUACGGGAGGCAGCAGUGGGGAAUAUUGCACAAUGGGCGCAAGCCUGAUGCAGCGACGCCGCGUGAGGGAUGGAGGCCUUCGGGUUGUAAACCUCUUUCGCCAGUGAAGCAGGCCUGUCCCUUGUGGGUGGGUUGACGGUAGCUGGAUAAGAAGCGCCGGCUAACUACGUGCCAGCAGCCGCGGUAAUACGUAGGGCGCGAGCGUUGUCCGGAAUUAUUGGGCGUAAAGAGCUCGUAGGCGGCUGGUCGCGUCUGUCGUGAAAUCCUCUGGCUUAACUGGGGGCUUGCGGUGGGUACGGGCCGGCUUGAGUGCGGUAGGGGAGACUGGAACUCCUGGUGUAGCGGUGGAAUGCGCAGAUAUCAGGAAGAACACCGGUGGCGAAGGCGGGUCUCUGGGCCGUUACUGACGCUGAGGAGCGAAAGCGUGGGGAGCGAACAGGAUUAGAUACCCUGGUAGUCCACGCCGUAAACGUUGGGCACUAGGUGUGGGGGGCCUUUUCCGGGUCUUCCGCGCCGUAGCUAACGCAUUAAGUGCCCCGCCUGGGGAGUACGGCCGCAAGGCUAAAACUCAAAGGAAUUGACGGGGGCCCGCACAAGCGGCGGAGCAUGCGGAUUAAUUCGAUGCAACGCGAAGAACCUUACCAAGGCUUGACAUGUGCCGGUCGGCUCCGGAGACGGGGUUUCCUCCUUGUGGGGCCGGUUCACAGGUGGUGCAUGGUUGUCGUCAGCUCGUGUCGUGAGAUGUUGGGUUAAGUCCCGCAACGAGCGCAACCCUUGUCCCGUGUUGCCAGCACGUUGUGGUGGGGACUCGCGGGAGACUGCCGGGGUCAACUCGGAGGAAGGUGGGGAUGACGUCAAAUCAUCAUGCCCCUUAUGUCUUGGGCUUCACGCAUGCUACAAUGGCCGGUACAGAGGGCUGCGAUACCGUGAGGUGGAGCGAAUCCCUUAAAGCCGGUCUCAGUUCGGAUCGGUGUCUGCAACUCGACACCGUGAAGUUGGAGUCGCUAGUAAUCGCAGAUCAGCAACGCUGCGGUGAAUACGUUCUCGGGCCUUGUACACACCGCCCGUCACGUCAUGAAAGUCGGCAACACCCGAAGCCCGUGGCCCUACGGGGAGCGGUCGAAGGUGGGGCUGGUGAUUGGGACGAAGUCGUAACAAGGUAGCCGUACCGGAAGGUGCGGCUGGAUCACCUCCUUUCUAAGGA
rnacentral:rRNA from 1 species